rnacentral:rRNA from 2 species
UGGGGGAUAUUGCACAAUGGGCGAAAGCCUGAUGCAGCGACGCCGCGUGGGGGAUGAAGGCUUUCGGGUUGUAAACCUCUUUCGCUAUCGAACAAGGCCCGCUUAGGGUGGGUUGAGGGUAGGUGGAGAAGAAGCGCCGGCUAACUACGUGCCAGCAGCCGCGGUAAUACGUAGGGCGCGAGCGUUGUCCGGAAUUAUUGGGCGUAAAGGGCUUGUAGGCGGCUUGUUGCGCCUGCUGUGAAAACGCGGGGCUUAACUUCGCGCGUGCAGUGGGUACGGGCAGGCUUGAGUGUGGUAGGGGUGACUGGAAUUCCAGGUGUAGCGGUGGAAUGCGCAGAUAUCUGGAGGAACACCGAUGGCGAAGGCAGGUCACUGGGCCAUUACUGACGCUGAGGAGCGAAAGAAUGGGUAGCGAACAGG